UGGGUCAACCAUUGGUCAGAGGCACUGUGACCUAACCCGCGUGCCGCAGCCGCCUCCUCUCCUCCUCGAUUCUUCUGCUGCCGCAGCCACCCCCCUCUCCUCUCCCCCAAUUCUCCCACCACCGCCGCCGCCUCUCGUCUCAUCCAUGUAGCCAGGGCCUAGACGUCAUCGGCUCAGUCCGCAGCGGUAUGGAUGAGGAGGCGAGAGCUUCAGAGGCAGGGGCGAGGAAGCAGAGAGUCCUUCCCGAGGGCGCCCCAACCUGCCAGAUCUUCCAACUCAUCGGCCCAGGCAAGGUAAAAAUGUUGGAUCCGGCGGUGGCUGGAAUCCCUUAUCGCCGGAGGAUGGCGUGCAUGACGUAUGACCAGAAAAUCAAUAGGCAGAUGGAGCAGGACGGGGUGACGAUUCCUGGCGGCGUUCGCGUGUUUUGGCUAGCGGCCUGCACUUCCUUCUUCCCCUGGUGAGUUGUCCUUGAUCUGAAAAAAUAUUUACUUCCCACUGAUUUGUUGCUUGUCGGCGGGAGCCUGGGGCGCCGCCAUGGCCAGUAGGAGAAGCACGGGUGACCGCUGCAGCUGAGCUUCCAUGUAAGAUAGCCCCGAGCCCCCGACACAUCCUCUGCCACACCAACCUUGCAGCAUCUGGCCUUUGCAGAUUCGUUUAGAGAUAUUCAAGAAAGAAGAUAGUGCGACAAGGCUAAAGGGCUACUAUGGUAAAAAUCUUUCUUUCUUUUGUUGUGACCUGUCUUAUUUGGUUCUAUUGUGCAUAAAGAACACUUGGUUUUAUCAACUCCCAGCUUGAUAGUUAACUGCUUCCAUCUAUCAACUCCCAGCUUGACAGUUAGAUGUUUCCAUCUUUAUAUUCUAAUUUGAUGUUUUUUGAUUCACGGUAUAUGGAGGAUGCAGGAAAUGAUGGAGUGCACGAUGCUUCAGCAGAUUCUGCAUUAUUGUCAAACGCCUUUCCUGAGGUGUUAUUUGUUUACACCUGAGGAUGAAAAUAAAGUUUUAUGUCCCACUAAUUAGAUCAACUGCUCAGGGAAAAAAAAGAUGUGCCUUCUUUGCAUUAGCUCCACCAUGGUUCUGCCAUAUGUCUAAUUACGAUGCACCCUUUUCAGACCAUUUCCACCGCACAUGUGUGUUCGUGCUCAUUUUUUGUUCUCUGACUUUUUGAUCAUGCCUAUGAAUGCCCAUCGUAUAUAUUUGUUCACUGUCUUUUGAUCACAGUUGUGUAUACACUCAUGCCUACUGUAUUCCCUGCAUUUUUCCUCUACUAUGCAAACUGCUUACCCUUGGACUACUAAUUAAAUCAAGCUUGCCACUUUGUACAGUGUGAUUAUUUCAUGUAUUUUUGGUAUGUGUUAGCUAUGACUUGACUGGCUCCAGUCUGGUAGAGAACACAAUUAAUUUGCACUUCCUGGAAUAAAAUUACUAUUUGUGAUUUUGGUAUGGGCUAGCUUUGAUUUGGAUGAUUUCAAGUCAGGAACAUGAGUGGGCUAAUGUAUUAUGCAUGACCAUGGGAAGACGGUAUUUUCUAUGGUAGAAUUAGUGUGGUGGUAUAAAAUUAUAAGUUCACUUCAUGGUCGGUAGGUUCACACCGCUGCAUUUUGUUUGUAGAUGCCUUGACUUUUAGGCUGUCACAGGUAGUCGCGCGUCGCCGCGGGCGAGUCUCUGAUCGCCUUGCUCUGUUUCACUGUUUCAAUAUUUCCAACUUAUUACAUGAAUGGAUCUAAAAUAACAAACUUUCAACAUCGUAUGAUUUUUCUACGAGUUGAUGGUUUUUACUCAACCAUAAAUGCUUCCAUGAUAUGCUGGCACAUUCUCUCACUUCAUUCCUGGAUUUUGCUGACAAGGAUUGGAAAUUUCUGUUACCCCCGAGAACUAAAAAUUAUCGACCACUCGAUUACAUGGUGUUGAAUUAUUUGAAUGCUACCAAUGUCUAUAUAGAAAAAUAAGGAAACUUUUUUUUACUCUAUUGAGCAAUGAGUGCACUCUACAAGGUUAGCCUUGCUGCCAUUGGUAUUAAAGUACUAGCAAUUAUCUUUAGCUAUUCUUCUUUCAUCUAUAUCCUGAAGGAGACCCGAUGGCAUGGCUGUACAAGUGGCACCCCUGGUCAGGUGGACGUUGGAUGCUUUCUUCAGUGUUUCUCUUUUCCCGCAGGCUUGAUUUCCUUGUGGUCGUAACCCAACUCCCAAAAGUCAACGCUUUCUUGGAGUCCUAAUCCAUCUACUUGUCCCCCUCUCUGUUCUUUCUAUUGUAACGCGAUCUUUCUUGGAGUCCUAAUCCAUCUACUUGCUCCCCUCUCUGAAGAUAUCAUGCUAUGGGACUUUUCGGCAGAACCUAAACUAUGGUUUUACUUGCAGCUCAGUUUUCACAUCCUUCCCAGGUUUCAGAAAAACAUAAACAUGCUUGGAUGUGUGUCCUUGCCGGCGACCUCGCUGUCUCCAACCCAUCCGUCUGGACAGGUAGCUUGCUAUCCUCUCAUCGUGUCUAUUGGUGCAGUAUCUCAUAUCCUCUCUCGAAGAGAUGAGGUAAGGAUUAAAGGACUACCAACUGAGUUCUACAGCUCACCUCACCAAUAAUGGAAGACAUCCUCACCUCACCUAUAAUGGAAGACAUCCCGAGUCAUUGUUUUGCAUGCUAGAAACAACAACUAUCACGUUGGUGAUUUCCCUGAUAUCUGGUUCUACAAGUGUGUCAUAUGGACCAAUGAAAGAAAAGAUAUUUCGGAGAUAAUAACUAUAUGGGCUACUCCAAAUGGUCUGACAGUGGAACCAACUUUUAUAGGCCCUCAAGUACCUGUGGAAGUCUACCAUGCAAGCAUUAUCCGACGAUGACACUGCUUUUUCGUACAUAUCAUCUUAAGACCAUGGUCAGACUAAGAAGAUGCCUAAAUAAGGCAUGAGGCUGCCUAUAUAUAAGUGUUUUUCUAUAAACUGAUCUAAGUCAUUCUACUAUCUGUAAACCAAUUUAAGUUAUUCUACUAUUUGUAAACCCGUCUAAGUCAUUGUAUUAUCAGCAAUACAAUCCACAUUGCAUUA